UGGCUCAGAACGAACGCUGGUAGCGUGGAUUAGGCAUGCAAGUCGGACGGGAUCGGCUGGUUAGCAAUAAUCGGCCGUGAGAGUGGCGGACUGGGGAGGAACACGUGAGCAACUUGCCCGCAGGACGGGGAAAACCGUUGGAAACGACGGCUAAUACCGGAUGCGGCGCGCAUGGGACAUCCCGUGCGCGCCAAAGGGGGCCCAAAAGGCUCCCGCCCGCGGAGAGGCUCGCGCACCAUCAGCUUGUUGGCGGGGUAACGGCCCACCAAGGCUUACGGUUAGCUGGUCUGAGAGGAUGACCAGCCCCACUGGGACUGAGACACUGCCCAGACUCCUACGGGAGGCUGCAGUCGAGGAUCAUUUGCAAUGGGCGAAAGCCUGACAAUGCGACGCUGCGUGGAGGAUGAAGGCCUUCGGGUUGUAAACUCCUGUCAUGGGGGAACAGGCGAGGGGACCCAAUACGUCCCUUAGUUGAGUGUACCCCAAGAGGAAGGGACGGCUAACUCUGUGCCAGCCGCUGC
rnacentral:rRNA from 1 species